GGGUGUUUCAUCUAACAGUAAGGCUGGGAUUCAAUCCCAGGCGUGUCAUAGAGGUUCGCACUGGACAACCGUCAACACGCCUUUUCAAGAGACUGAGGAGGUGAAGACACAGAGCAGGUUAUGUCCUUCCAGCUGGACCAGAUAUGGGUCCCGCUGCUUUAUGUUUGUCAGGACGCAGAGGACAUGGCUUGAGGCAGAGAACCGGGUGUGGCUUUGGAGUGAAGGGUGAAGUUUGGAUUACACUAGCUGGCACCCAGGAGAACCCAACAAUUACAAUGGCAAGCGGGAGCCUUGCAUGAUGAUGAACUCUGGAGGUGAGAAACGCUGGAAUGAUGAAAUAUGUAGAAACAAAUAUUAUUUUGUGUGUGUUAAAAUAAUCUGUCAAUAAAUCCUGAGAAACUUCAA